rnacentral:rRNA from 1 species
GAUGAACGCUAGCUACAGGCUUAACACAUGCAAGUCGCGGGGCAGCAUGGGGGUUGCUUGCAAUCCCCGAUGGCGACCGGCGCACGGGUGAGUAACGCGUAUCCAACCUGCCCUUCACCACGGGAUAACCCGGCGAAAGUCGGACUAAUACCGUAUGUUGUCCAUUGACGGCAUCCGAUUUGGACGAAAGGUUUGACGGUGAAGGAUGGGGAUGCGUCCGAUUAGCUGGACGGCGGGGUGACGGCCCACCGUGGCGACGAUCGGUAGGGGUUCUGAGAGGAAGGUCCCCCACACUGGAACUGAGACACGGUCCAGACUCCUACGGGAGGCAGCAGUGAGGAAUAUUGGUCAAUGGGCGUAAGCCUGAACCAGCCAAGUAGCGUGCAGGAUGACGGCCCUAUGGGUUGUAAACUGCUUUUAUGCGGGGAUAAAGUGGCGCACGUGUGGGUUUUUGCAGGUACCGCAUGAAUAAGGACCGGCUAAUUCCGUG